rnacentral:rRNA from 1 species
UCUGAGACAGGUGCUGCAUGGCUGUCGUCAGCUCGUGUUGUGAAAUGUUGGGUUAAGUCCCGCAACGAGCGCAACCCUUAUCCUUUGUUGCCAGCGAGUAAUGUCGGGAACUCAAAGGAGACUGCCGGUGAUAAACCGGAGGAAGGUGGGGAUGACGUCAAGUCAUCAUGGCCCUUACGAGUAGGGCUACACACGUGCUACAAUGGCAUAUACAAAGAGAAGCGAACUCGCGAGAGCAAGCGGACCUCAUAAAGUAUGUCGUAGUCCGGAUUGGAGUCUGCAACUCGACUCCAUGAAGUCGGAAUCGCUAGUAAUCGUAGAUCAGAAU